rnacentral:rRNA from 1 species
CCUACGGGAGGCAGCAGUCGAGAAUCAUUCACAAUGGGGGAAACCCUGAUGGUGCGACGCCGCGUGGGGGAAUGAAGGUCUUCGGAUUGUACACCCCUGUCAUGUGGGAGCAAAUUAAAAAGAUAGUACCACAAGAGGAAUAGACGGCUAACUCUGUGCCAGCAGCCGCGGUAAUACAGAGGUCUCAAGCGUUGUUCGGAAUCACUGGGCGUAAAGCGUGCGUAGGCUGUUUCGUAAGUCGUGUGUGAAAGGCGCGGGCUCAACCCGCGGACGGCACAUGAUACUGGGAGACUCGAGUAAUGGAGGGGGAACCGGAAUUCUCGGUGUAGCAGUGAAAUGCGUAGAUAGCGAGAGGAACACUCGUGGCGAAGGCGGGUUCCUGGACAUUAACUGACGCUGAGGCACGAAGGCCAGGGGAGCGAAAGGGAUUAGAUACCCGAGUAGUC